rnacentral:rRNA from 1 species
AAACCAACAGGGAUUGCCUCAGUAACGGCGAGUGAAGCGGCAAAAGCUCAAAUUUGAAAUCCUGGCUCCUUUGGGGUCAUGAGUUGUAAUUUGAAGGUUGAGUUGUUUGGUGUCACACAUUUCUAAGUCCAUUGGAACAUGGCGCCUUGGAGGGUGAGAGCCCCGUGAGAGAUGUUGUGGUAUCAUUAUACUUCUCUUCCGAAGAGUCGAGUUGUUUGGGAAUGCAGCUCUAAGUGGGUGGUAAAUUCCAUCUAAAGCUAAAUAUUGGCGAGAGACCGAUAGCGAACAAGUACAGUGAUGGAAAGAUGAAAAGCACUUUGAAAAGAGAGUGAAAAAGUACGUGAAAUUGUUGGAAGGGAAGGGCUUGCAAGCAGACACGAUCCUCUCGGGGAUUGGGCCAGCAUCGGUUGGCAAGGGGUGGAAAAGGCAGUUGGGAAUGUGGCUCUGCGCUUUUAGUGCGGAGUGUUAUAGACCUUCUGAGAUACACCCACUUCCGACCGAGGCCUGCGAUUAUUCUAGGAUGCUGGCGUAAUGGUUGCAAGUCGC